UUGCCGGGACAGCUAGUUAUUAUCUAAAAAGCUUUAUCUAAUCCUGUUUCAAAUAGUUCCUCUAUUUGCUGAUAAAACUUUGUUUUAAAAUAAACAUGACUGAGUCACUUGUUUUCUUUGACAUUACUUAUCAGAAACUCAUUAAUGCAAGUUGUAUAAUGUGCAUCACAAAACCUUCAAUAAAAAGAAAAAUAAGAAAGAUCAAUGAAAAAGUUAUUACUCAUGUAUUUUGUGACCCAUUGCUGAUCUUGGCAAUGCACAAAAAUCAUUUAAAUUCCGAGCAAUAUCCGUAUUAACCGUGAAAAAUAUUGUCUCGCCAUUUCCUUUUUCUUCUACCUCUUUAUUUAAAC